CCAGCCCAGCUGAGCCCCAGCUGUUCAGCAAUCAGGGACAUCUUCAGUUCUGCCCGUUCGCGGGCACUCAGAGAGGCUAUGGACAGGUCAGGCAG